GACGAACGCUGGCGGCGUGCUUAACACAUGCAAGUCGAACGGAAAGGCCCUGCUUUUGUGGGGUGCUCGAGUGGCGAACGGGUGAGUAACACGUGAGUAACCUGCCCUUGACUUUGGGAUAACUUCAGGAAACUGGGGCUAAUACCGGAUAGGAGCUCCUGCUGCAUGGUGGGGGUUGGAAAGUUUCGGCGGUUGGGGAUGGACUCGCGGCUUAUCAGCUUGUUGGUGGGGUAGUGGCUUACCAAGGCUUUGACGGGUAGCCGGCCUGAGAGGGUGACCGGCCACAUUGGGACUGAGAUACGGCCCAGUCUCCUACGGGAGGCAGCAGUGGGGAGUAUUGCACAAUGGGCGGAAGCCUGAUGCAGCAACGCCGCGUGCGGGAUGACGGCCUUCGGGUUAUAAACCGCUUUCGCCUGUGACGAGGCGUGAGUGACGGUAAUGUGUAAAGAAGCACCGGCUAACUACGUG
rnacentral:rRNA from 1 species